UGCCGGGAUAACUAAAACUCUGA
rnacentral:miRNA from 1 species